UGGGGAAUUUUGGACAAUGGGCGAAAGCCUGAUCCAGCAAUGCCGCGUGUGUGAAGAAGGCCUUCGGGUUGUAAAGCACUUUUGUCCGGAAAGAAAUCCUCUGGGUUAAUACCUCGGGGGGAUGACGGUACCGGAAGAAUAAGCACCGGCUAACUACGUGCCAGCAGCCGCGGUAAUACGUAGGGUGCAAGCGUUAAUCGGAAUUACUGGGCGUAAAGCGUGCGCAGGCGGUUUUGUAAGACGGAUGUGAAAUCCCCGGGCUUAACCUGGGAACUGCAUUCGUGACUGCAAGGCUAGAGUAUGGCAGAGGGGGGUAGAAUUCCACGUGUGAGCAGUGAAAUGCGUAGAGAUGUGGAGGAAUACCGAUGGCGAAGGCGAGCCCCCUGGGCCAAUACCUGACGCUCAUGCACGAAAAGCGUGGGGAGCAAACAGGAUUNGAUACCCUGGUAGUCACGCCCUAAAACGAUGUCAACU
rnacentral:rRNA from 1 species